UACAGAGGUGGCAAGCGUUGUUCGGAAUUACUGGGCGUAAAGGGCGCGUAGGCGGCCUUCUAAGUCAGACGUGAAAUCCCUCGGCUCAACCGGGGAACUGCGUCUGAUACUGGGUGGCUUGAAUCCGGGAGAGGGGUGCGGAAUUCCAGGUGUAGCGGUGAAAUGCGUAGAUAUCUGGAGGAACACCGGUGGCGAAGGCGGCAUCCUGGACCGGCAUUGACGCUGAGGCGCGAAAGCCAGGGGAGCAAACGGG
rnacentral:rRNA from 1 species